GAAGUAAAAGUCGUAACAAGGUUUCCGUAGGUGAACCUGCGGAAGGAUCAUUAGUGAAUUGUAAUGGGGGCUCGAUGCUGGCUGCCAUUUCUUUGGCUGCAUGUGCUCGUUCCUAACAAUCCUUUAUUCUCAAACACCUGUGCACCUUGUGAGGAAGGAGGAAAAGAGGGGCCUUGGAUCCCCCUUGUCUUCCCAUCUCAUGAUUCAUAAACACUGUCUGUAAUGUUGAAUGUGCUUGUGCCGCUUAAGGCCUUUAACACUAAUAAUACAACUUUUGACAACGGAUCUCUUGGCUCUCGCAUCGAUGAAGAACGCAGCGAAAUGCGAUAAGUAAUGUGAAUUGCAGAAUUCAGUGAAUCAUCGAAUCUUUGAACGCACCUUGCGCUCCCUGGUAUUCCGGGGAGCACGCCUGUUCGAGUGUCGUGAAAACUAUCUCAAGUCUAGGAUGCAUUUGUUGCCCCCCUGGUCUUGGUAUUGGGCUUUGCAGUGUCCCUUCAGAGGAAACGGCUGGCCUUAAAAGUAUUUGCUGGCCCCUUAUGCAGUUUUAUUGGUAUUUUGCUUCGCGUGAUAAUUUGACCGCUGGCAUGGAUAUCCGAUCUUCACUUUGGGGGGUUGCUUUCUAAUAAUUGGAACUUUUGUUCCGUUUUCAACUUUGGCCUCGAAUCAGGUGGGACUACCCGCUGAACUUAAGCAUAUCAAUAAGCGGAGGAAA
rnacentral:rRNA from 1 species